rnacentral:lncRNA from 1 species
GACUCACCCAUUUUACCUUUCACCAUGGGGCUUAUAACUAUCACUUAGGCAUUGGGUAGUUGAAAGACAGAACAGUUAAGUCGAGCACUAUGCUACCCGCUCUUUGAUCAACUAUUAUUCCAGAGUUUUGCAAGAUUUUCAAACACAACUUAGAGUUUUCUUGUAUGACACUUUCAAGUCUCUCAUAUGUGGUAUUUUUGGAUCCUCUCUAAGCCAAGUGAGUAUGCCUUCUCUCUCACCCUACUUCUAAUUGGCUUAUGUGGAGUUCAUAGGUGGGAAAGACAAUUCAAACCUACUUGCAUGUAUUGCAUAGUUAAACCAUGGAUCUAGAGAAACUAAUUAUACAAUCAAGUGAUAUGUGCAUGUGAGUGUAGUGAAUGAAGUGAAUGAUAAGAAUGAAAGUGGUAAUGAGGCAUGAUAACUAAUGGUGAUUAUCUUAUUCUACAAUUACUCCUUAGGGAUAACAUACUUCCCUAAUCUGAGAACAGGGAUUUGGUUGUCUUUCUUUUCUUUUGCAUUGGCACUUUUGUCGUCUUUCUUUAUUUUUCUCUAUUUUGUUUCUUUUUUUAGGGAUCAACCAUCCCUUUUAAUUCAAUGAUAACAGUAGGGAGUAUCAAUAGGGUAACUGGGGCUUUAUUGGAUAAGUAGAAUAAGACAUUGAAUAUUUUUGGGUGUCUUCUCCCAGUGUAGGAGUAGAACAUUUUCUAAGUGGAUGUGGAAUGUGUGUGGGUGAAUGAAGGAAUGCGUACUCCUAGGGUAGGAACAGCAUAGGUGUGUGUCUCCAGGAUAGAAACAACACAGAGUGUAGUGCGUAUAUGUGGGUGGUACUUCCAGGAACAGAAGUAGCACAUAGUGAAUGCGGUGGAUGAAAGUGGUUGCAUACUGUUGAAGACAGAAGUAGCUAAGAACAAUAGAUGGAGAGCACAUAAUAUUGACUUUAACUGUAUGACUAGUUCCAUAGGGUAUACACAACUUAACUACUCUCAAUGCUUAUAGGUUGAAAUAUAAGUGGAGGUUUUCCUAAUCUAGUAAGCAUGAUUAAUUGGCUGUGGUUGGAAUUUUAAAACUCUCGUCAUAAAGGAACUCAUCAUGUAGAAACUUUAAGAUUUUUCAAAAUAAAGUUCUCCAGAACUCUAGUAUCUCUAGGAGCAAAACUGAUAGCAGCUCAAAACCUUUCCAUAUCAUAUCCGUCAACUACCUAGACUUAGAUCAAGCAUUUGCUACCCAGAAGUUUCAGGCUCAGAGCAAAUCUUAAGUCUAAACAGUUGUGCCUAAAACUCAAGAGAGUACAAGGUUAAAAACUAGGUACUUGCAAGGAAUUACGGCAGAGCAACUAUUCAUCAUCUCCAUAUAAGAGUUAAUUCUAGAGGUUCAUCUUAACAGAUUCAUUAGAAGGUCUCCUAGCA